rnacentral:rRNA from 1 species
AUUGAACGCUGGCGGCAGGCCUAACACAUGCAAGUCGAGCGGAUGAAGGGAGCUUGCUCCUGGAUUCAGCGGCGGACGGGUGAGUAAUGCCUAGGAAUCUGCCUGGUAGUGGGGGAUAACGUCCGGAAACGGGCGCUAAUACCGCAUACGUCCUGAGGGAGAAAGUGGGGGAUCUUCGGACCUCACGCUAUCAGAUGAGCCUAGGUCGGAUUAGCUAGUUGGUGGGGUAAAGGCCUACCAAGGCGACGAUCCGUAACUGGUCUGAGAGGAUGAUCAGUCACACUGGAACUGAGACACGGUCCAGACUCCUACGGGAGGCAGCAGUGGGGAAUAUUGGACAAUGGGCGAAAGCAUGAUACAGCCAGGCCGCGUGUGUGAAGAAGGUCUUCGGAUUGUAAAGCACUUUAAGUUGGGAGGAAGGGCAGUAAGUUAAUACCUUGCUGUUUUGACGUUACCAACAGAAUAAGCACCGGCUAACUUCGUG